CCAAAACCACCAUGAAAGCUCAUUUUUGAGCUUGAAGAACCAAAAUCCAACCAUGGCCAAUUGUCCUACCAUAACUAGAUGUUGUUUGGACAACUAGGAAAGAGGAUUCAAAGAAAAGAAAGAAGAAAAAUUUGAAGAAAAGGGAGAAGAAAUUCUGCACACAAGUUGAAAAGAAUAUCGGGAAGGAACCCGAGGAAACGAGUCGAGGCUAAGGGACGACUCGCUUGAGAUAAAAGCAAGGAGAAAGCAGCAGAGUGAGCUGCGGAAUUGACAAGAUCUUUUUGAUCCCUUUUUGUACGGGUAUUAUUUUAUACCCUUAUGGUUAUUUUGAUGUAAAUACUGUAAUGUCAUAAGUAUCAAUGUAAAUUGAG